UACGAAGGGGGCGAGCGUUGUUCGGAUUUACUGGGCGUAAAGGGCGCGCAGGCGGCCUAUUUUGUCAGGCGUGAAAGCCCCGGGCUUAACCUGGGAACUGCAUUUGUGACUGCAUAGCUAGAGUACGGUAGAGGGGGAUGGAAUUCCGCGUGUAGCAGUGAAAUGCGUAGAUAUCUGGAGGAAUACCGGUGGCGAAGGCGGCAUCCUGGACCGACAUUGACGCUGAGGAGCGAAAGCUAGGGGAGCAAACGGG
rnacentral:rRNA from 1 species